rnacentral:rRNA from 2 species
ACUCCUGACUGACCGAUAGUGAACCAGUACCGUGAGGGAAAGGCGAAAAGAACCCCGGCGAGGGGAGUGAAAAAGAACCUGAAACCGUGUACGUACAAGCAGUGGGAGCACAGGUUUACCUGUGUGACUGCGUACCUUUUGUAUAAUGGGUCAGCGACUUAUAUUCUGUAGCAAGGUUAACCGAAUAGGGGAGCCGGAGGGAAACCGAGUCUUAAUUGGGCGUUAAGUUGCAGGGUAUAGACCCGAAACCCGGUGAUCUAGCCAUGGGCAGGUUGAAGGUUGGGUAACACUAACUGGAGGACCGAACCGACUAAUGUUGAAAAAUUAGCGGAUGACCUGUGGCUGGGGGUGAAAGGCCAAUCAAACCGGGAGAUAGCUGGUUCUCCCCGAAAGCUAUUUAGGUAGCGCCUCGUGAAUUCAUCUCCGGGGGUAGAGCACUGUUUCGGCUAGGGGGCCAUCCCGGCUUACCAACCCGAUGCAAACUGCGAAUACCGGAGAAUGUUAUCACGGGAGACACACGGCGGGUGCUAACGUCCGUCGUGAAGAGGGAAACAACCCAGACCGCCAGCUAAGGUCCCAAAGUCAUGGUUAAGUGGGAAACGAUGUGGGAAGGCCCAGACAGCCAGGAUGUUGGCUUAGAAGCAGCCAUCAUUUAAAGAAAGCGUAAUAGCUCACUGGUCGAGUCGGCCUGCGCGGAAGAUGUAACGGGGCUAAACCAU